rnacentral:lncRNA from 1 species
CCCUCCUGUGAGCUGACAGUGAGGAGCCCCGCAGCCCCCUGACGCGAGCAGGUGCAGCAGGGUGUGGUGUGCAGGCGCCUGCCCUGCACCGGGAGCCCAGGCGGCUCUGCGGCCUCCAGGGAGGCCCGGGGUCAGAGGCCACCGCGGGGCAGCUUCCCAGCAGGUGUCUCGCUGCCCUGCACAAAGCCCAACCACCUGCAGGGGGCGCCCGACACGCACGGCACAGAGGAGCUCCCACACAGCCGCACCGCUCCCAGACCACACGCACGCUCACGUAUGGACAGGUGUGCUCCGUGCACACUUACACACAGCCAGGCUCACACGCACACCCGGACCGUGCAGGAGCACCCACACCCAGCCGCUCACGCACAGCACAGCCCUGCGCGCGCUCACGCCUCACACCCGAACCCACUCACCCGCGAGCCCACACGGUCACACAGCCAUUUACACACGCGUUCAGGCACAUGCUCAGUCGUCCACGCACACAAUACGCUUGCACACAUCACACACAAUCACACGCGUGCACUCACACCAUUCUCCCCCCACACUCAUUUGCUCACAAUCACACAGUCCUGACAUGCAUGGUCGCACACACACACGUGUACUGCCCAUAACUCACUCUACUCCACAUGCACACACACUCGUACACAGGCAUACUCCUUCCCAUGCCUCACACGCACGCACACACUGGCCCCGUCCUCCUGGGAGUUGGCCACACCCCAGCCCAAGUGGGCAGGUGUCUCCCCCUGCACGAGCCGGCCUGGCCCUGCCACAGCGCCCGGCCCUGCCCUGAGUGGUGACUGCAGAGCCUGGGCAGGAGUGGCCAGCUGGGUGUCACCCCCACAGGCCCGCAGUCCGAGCAGGGGCCAGAGGAUGCGUCCCGGCAGGCAGCACGGAUGGGAGGGCCCCCUGCACCCCCUUCCCAGGCCCAGCCCAAGGACAGCCCACCUGGGGGCGCACACAUGUCCACACCGCGCGCGCACCGUUUCAAGCCACCCCUGUGCAAUCGGCAACAAUGAAGC